rnacentral:rRNA from 1 species
UACGUAGGGUGCAAGCGUUGUCCGGAAUUAUUGGGCGUAAAGAGCUCGUAGGCGGUUAGUCGCGUCUGCUGUGAAAACUCGGGGCUUAACUCCGGGCCUGCAGUGGGUACGGGCUGACUAGAGUGCGGUAGGGGAGACUGGAAUUCCUGGUGUAGCGGUGAAAUGCGCAGAUAUCAGGAGGAACACCGGUGGCGAAGGCGGGUCUCUGGGCCGGUACUGACGCUGAGGAGCGAAAGCGUGGGGAGCGAACAGG